rnacentral:lncRNA from 1 species
AACUUGUUCUUGAUAGAGCACUCUGUCUCGUCCAAAAGAAUCAAGAUUUGGUGCCAUGAGCGCUUUAUCUUCAAGAUGGACUGACUUGAAUGGCUUGAAAACUCCGAAGAUUCAUCUUUAAUAUCAUCUUGUCGUCUUUGGACAAGGCGGGAAGCUCGCUGUUUGUACAGCUGGUGCAUUGCAGAUUCAAGUUCAUUAAUCAGAGGCACCUUUUCACUGAAACACUCAAGCAAGUCUUGGACAUACCCUCGCAUUUCUUGCAAAAACUUAUACUGUUCACCAAUACCCCCAGAAGACCCUUCUAAUCUUUCAAUUGCCUUGGUAGAGUCCUCUCGGCUUUGCUGAUGUUUCUCAAACUGCUGCCGAUUAGCUUUGUGCAAUUCUUUCAUAGAGUCCAACCUGUCUUUAAGCUGUUUCUUUACCAAAUCAAUAGUAAUAGGAGUCAUCUCAUUACUGGGUGUUUUGAAAGGAACUGUAUUAUCUGUUUUUUGAGACUUGGCUUCCGAUGAUCCAUACGCAGCAUAAGUGUAUGGAAUGCCGUACGACGAACCAUAAGACAAUGUCUGGUAAGUGUUCUGGUAGUACAGAUUAUUCACUUCAGCAGGCUGACUUGGUUGAACCUGAAGUAUGUUGAUUCCUUUCCGUAUCUGUUCUUGCUCCCAUCUACUGAGUUCCUCAUCUUGUUCCCCUGCCACCAGCGCCUCAUCAUCACUCCCCUCAAUACCUAUUUCCUCAGCAAUCUUUUGCCUUUGGGAUUUUUCCUUCACUGUAAAAACUAUCCUCCUCUUCUCGUCAUCAUCUUCAUCAUCACUGGCAUCAUUUUCAUCUUCUCGAACAAGGCGGCUUUUACCUGGUUCACUGUCAACAGGAGUAAAGUCUCCAAGUUCACGAGCCAUUUGACGCUUUUUC